rnacentral:lncRNA from 1 species
GCAGAACGUUAUUUAGAAAUAAGGAUAACACAUCAUUAGGAAUAAAUCUUCUCAGUAAAUAAUUGUUUAUACGUUGCCUGUGAGCUCCUUGGGAGCAGGUAUUAUUUUUGCCUUUCCUUAUAUUCCCAGUGCUUAGAACAAUGCCUGACAUACAGUAAACACUUAAUAAAUGCUGGUUGACUUGAUCCCAGAAACUAAUAUGAACAGUUAGAAAUGUUUGAUAUAUUGUCAAUUGUUGAUAUUUUGCAUGCUUAGAACCCCUGAAUAACUGUCAGAUGUUCAAGUUAUAGUGGGGGGUGGGGGUGGGGAGGCUUCUCACAAUGGCAAGAAUGUGUUACAUACUUUUAUCAGGUGACAGCGUCUUUUGGAUUGAAUUUCAGAAUCAGUCAGAGGUGAAAAUAAGUGUGAGAACAAUUCCUAGACUCCUAGAUGAAAUCCAUCAAAGAUUCAAACUUGGUUUGAAGAUCUUGGACUGGGGCUGGGACAUGGAACUACAACUUGGACCUGAGACUCUGGAUCUUGGGCUGCUUCUGCUAAGACCACUCCUGGAUCUUCUCCCUUUGGAGCUUCAGCUUGGGUGAGUGAAAAACUGACCCUCCUUUCCUGGCUUCUGGAGAGAUUAAUUCCAGAGAGGCCUCCCCUUCUUGGAGGAGGCCGCAUGGGUUGAACCCUUGUUUAAUUCACCACCAAAUCCUCUGGCUGAGAGGUUAAUGAACCCUGCCAGGGUUGAGCUGGGGACGGGAGCAACAUUAGGGUGAUAGGUGAGACAUUUUCUCUACCCUCUUUUACAUUCCUCUACUUUCACUUUUUCCACCUUUUUGUAAAUAAAACUAUUGAAAGUAAUUUUGACUUGAGCUAU